rnacentral:rRNA from 1 species
GAGUUUGAUCAUGGCUCAGGACGAACGCUGGCGGCGUGCUUAACACAUGCAAGUCGCACGGGGCAGCAAUGCCCAGUGGCGAACGGGUGCGUAACACGUGAGGAACUUGUCCAUCGGCGGGGGAUAGCCGGCCCAACGGCCGGGUAAUACCGCGUACGUCGACCGGGGCGCCUGCCCUGGCCGGGAAAGCAGCAAUGCACCGAUGGAGAGCCUCGCGGCCUAUCAGCUUGUUGGCGGGGUAACGGCCCACCAAGGCGACGACGGGUAGCUGGUCUGAGAGGAUGAUCAGCCACAUUGGGACUGAGACACGGCCCAGACUCCUACGGGAGGCAGCAGUGGGGAAUAUUGCGCAAUGGGCGAAAGCCUGACGCAGCGACGCCGCGUGCGGGAUGACGGCCU